AACGAACGCUGGCGGCAGGCUUAACACAUGCAAGUCGAGCGCCCCGCAAGGGGAGCGGCAGACGGGUGAGUUACGCGUGGGAAUCUACCCAUCUCUACGGAAUAACGCAUGGGAACGUGUGCUAAUACCGUAUACGUCCUUCGGGAGAAAGAUUUAUCGGAGAUGGAUGAGCCGGCGUUGGAUUAGCUGGUUGGUGGGGUGAAGGCCUACCAAGGGGACGAUUCAUAGCAGGACUGAGAGGAUGAUCAGCCACACUGGGACUGAGCCACGGCCCAGACUCCUACAGGAGGCAGCAGUGGGGAAUAUUGGACAAUGGGCGCAAGCCUGAUACAGCCAUGCCGCGUGAGUGAUGAAGGCCCUAGGGUUGUAAAGCUCUUUCACCGGUGAAGAUAAUGACGGUAACCGGGGAAGAAGCCCCGGCUAACUUCGUGCCAGCCGCCGCCGUAACAC
rnacentral:rRNA from 1 species